rnacentral:rRNA from 1 species
UUUGUGGUUUGACCUGCCCAAUGUUAAUAAAGAAAGUAUGAAUGGCCGCGGUAAUUUGACCGUGCUAAGGUAGCGUAAUCAGUUGGCUUUUAAAUGGAGUCGGGUAUGAAUGGAAUAACCGGGUUUAGCUGUCUCUUUGUUACUACAUCGAAUUUACUGUUCAAGUGAAAAAGCUUGACUUUAGAAAAGGGACGAGAAGACCCUUAGAAUUUUUUCAAUAGUGGGGGUAAUGCCUAUAAUGAUUUUGUUGGGGCGACAGAGAAAAAUAUAUUAUCUUUCUUUAUACUACGUGCCGAUUAUGUUAAGUGAGGAUAAAUUACCUGAGGGAUAACAGCAUAAUUCUACAAUUGAGUUUGUGACCUCGAUGUUGGACUAGGAAACUAGCAAGCUAGCCGUUUGUUGUGUGGGUUCUGUUCGAACUUUAAUUCCU